AUUGAACGCUGGCGGCAGGCUUAACACAUGCAAGUCGAGCGGGGUGAUGGUGCUUGCACUAUCACUUAGCGGCGGACGGGUGAGUAAUGCUUAGGAAUCUGCCUAUUAGUGGGGGACAACAUUUCGAAAGGAAUGCUAAUACCGCAUACGUCCUACGGGAGAAAGCAGGGGAUCUUCGGACCUUGCGCUAAUAGAUGAGCCUAAGUCGGAUUAGCUAGUUGGUGGGGUAAAGGCCUACCAAGGCGACGAUCUGUAGCGGGUCUGAGAGGAUGAUCCGCCACACUGGGACUGAGACACGGCCCAGACUCCUACGGGAGGCAGCAGUGGGGAAUAUUGGACAAUGGGCGGAAGCCUGAUCCAGCCAUGCCGCGUGUGUGAAGAAGGCCUUAUGGUUGUAAAGCACUUUGAGCGAGGAGGAGGCUACUGAGACUAAUACUCUUGGAUAGUGGACGUUACUCGCAGAAUAAGCACCGGCUAACUCUGUGCCAGCCGCCGCUGUAACAC
rnacentral:rRNA from 1 species